CCUACGGGAGGCAGCAGUGAGGAAUAUUGGUCAAUGGGCGCGAGCCUGAACCAGCCAAGUAGCGUGAAGGAUGACUGCCCUACGGGUUGUAAACUUCUUUUAUAAAGGAAUAAAGUGAGGCACGUGUGCCUUUUUGUAUGUACUUUAUGAAUAAGGAUCGGCUAAAUCCGUGCCAGGAACCGCGGUAAUACGGAGGAUCCGAGCGUUUUCCGGAUUUAUUGGGUUUAAAGGGAUCGUUGAUGGGUUGUUAAGGCAGGUGUGAAAGUUUGCGGCUCAACCGUAAAAUUGCAAUUGAUACUGGCAGCCUUGAGUACAGUUGAGGGAGGCGGAAUGCGUGGUGUAGCGGUGAAAUGCUUAGAUAUCACGAAGAACUCCGAUUGCGAAGGCAGCUUACUAAACUGCCACUGACAUUGAUGCUCGAAAGUGUGGGUAUCAAACAGGAUUAGAUACCCCAGUAGUC
rnacentral:rRNA from 1 species